rnacentral:rRNA from 1 species
CAGUCGCCACGGGAAUACGGAGGGGGCAAGCGUUAUCCGGAAUUAUUGGGCGUAAAGGGUACGUAGGUGGCCUUUUAAGCGUAGGGUAUAAGGCAAUGGCUCAACCAUUGUUCGCCCUAUGAACUGGAAGGCUUGAGUGCAGGAGAGGAGAGUGGAAUUCCACGUGUAGCGGUGAAAUGCGUAGAGAUGUGGAGGAACACCAGUGGCGAAGGCGACUCUCUGGUCUGUAACCGACGCUGAGGAGCGAAAGCGUGGGGAGCGAACAGGAUUAGAUACCCCUGUAGUCCCUGUCUCUUAUACA